rnacentral:rRNA from 1 species
GACGAACGCUGGCGGCGUGCUUAACACAUGCAAGUCGAGCGAUGAAGUUCCUUCGGGAACGGAUUAGCGGCGGACGGGUGAGUAACACGUGGGUAACCUGCCUCAUAGAGGGGAAUAGCCUUCCGAAAGGAAGAUUAAUACCGCAUAAGAUUGUAGUAUCGCAUGAUACAGCAAUUAAAGGAGCAAUCCGCUAUGAGAUGGACCCGCGUCGCAUUAGCUAGUUGGGAGGGUAACGGCUCACCAAGGCGACGAUGCGUAGCCGACCUGAGAGGGUGAUCGGCCACAUUGGGACUGAGACACGGCCCAGACUCCUACGGGAGGCAGCAGUGGGGAAUAUUGCACAAUGGGGGAAACCCUGAUGCAGCAACGCCGCGUGAGUGAUGAAGGUCUUCGGAUUGUAAAACUCUGUCUUCAGGGACGAUAAUGACGGUACCUGAGGAGGAAGCCACGGCUAACUACGUGCCAGCAGCCGCCGUAA